ACCUGAGUGGUUCAGUUGGUUGAGCGUCUGACUUCAGCUCAGGUCAUGAUCUUGUGGUUCAUGGGUUCGAGCCCCACAUCAGGCU
rnacentral:tRNA from 1 species